CAGCUUGUCAUGGCACCAGGAAUUGGAUUCGGUCUCUGGAGCACAUUCAGGCACGUCUCACACUGACCUAUAGCAGACGUGGAGAUCUCUCCAUCACCCUCAUUAGCCCGAAGAAGACAAUCUCCAAUUUACUCACAACCAGGCCCUACGAAAAAACGUCUGCAGGGUUCUCAGACUGGGCCUUCAUGAGUACACACUGCUGGGAUGAGGAUCCCUCUGGAUAUUGGGUUCUACAGAUAGAAAACAACGGAGAUUCAAACAACAGAGGAUUCCUGUUGAAAUUUCAACUGGAGUUGCAUGGGACAGCUGAACACAUGAUAGGCCGGCGCAUGGAGAGAGCAGUGGUACAGCAGUGUGCAGUGAGGAACUCUGAUGGCGGCUGUGAAGGCAGGCUUCUACAUUAUUCAUUCCCUGAAUUUAGUUUACAAUGAAACAGUUGCACACACACUGUCAUUUCACGUUCUGGAAGACAUCUAGAAAAUGUUACUAACCAAGCAAGUAUCCUCUGUUUAUAGAGUGCAUAUACCCACUGUACGUAUUUGAGAACAGCUGCCUGAUGUCCUGUCCACCUCACUACUAUGUAUCAAAUGGAAACAGCACCCGCUCCUAUCAGAGGUGCUUACCCUGCCAUCGCAACUGCCUCACUUGUUUCGGCAAACAGGACACAAACUGUCUGGACUGCCCUCCAUAUUCCACCUUGGAUUCUCGUCGCAGUACCUGUAGUUCCCCCGUCUACCCCUGGGACCACAAAGGUAAAAUAACAAAUGGCAUGGAUCGGACGGCAGCGGUUCUGGGUAUUCUGAUCGGAGGGCCGCUGGUGAUUUUGUUUGUCAUGUGGGCGAUUGCAUGGAUGGUGAGCAGGUCGUUUCUACCACGUGGUGCUGCCAGGAACCAGGUGGACAUCAGCACCAGUCAUAGCAAUGAUGAGUCCAGGGAUGUGGAGAUGGUGGUAUUCAGUAUUACAGAAAGCCAGGCAGAGAACAGCGAGAGUACAUCUACAUUCACCAACAUUCCCAAUACUUCAAGAGAAACAUGACUCACUUCAGUCAGCAUAGAAUUCAUUAUUGGCUAAUUUCAUGUUGACUAACAGAAACAGAAGAAACAUUUUACAAAUAGCUUUUAUUGUUACUUCAGUAUCAUUCACAAACUUUUGGAUGGAUAAAAUAAAUAUAUUUUUAAGA